CUCACACAAGACGUCAACAUGCCAACACUGGUCUUUUUAUCCUGGCUUAUUGCUGUUGGUCUGGGGGUUGAGGUUUACCAAACUCCUCCAGCACUUCUCAGAAGACCGGGCGACACAGUCCAGCUGGUCUGUAGCCACGGAAAAACAGACUACUACCUCAUGCAGUGGUACCAGAAAUCACCUGGAGACAGAGCUCUGAAACGAAUCGGACACGUUUAUUACGGCAACAUAGAACAUGAGGAGUCUUUUAAAAAACAUUUUAAUAUCACUGGAGAUAUGAGCGGAACCACAGCAAAGAAUGGAUCACUGUUUAUUGUUGACCUAAAGGCUCCUGAGCACACUGCUGUGUAUUACUGUGCAGCUAGCUAUGCACACUGA
rnacentral:lncRNA from 1 species